rnacentral:rRNA from 1 species
UGGCGCAUACAAAGAGAAGCGACCUCGCGAGAGCAAGCGGACCUCAUAAAGUGCGUCGUAGUCCGGAUUGGAGUCUGCAACUCGACUCCAUGAAGUCGGAAUCGCUAGUAAUCGUGGAUCAGAAUGCCACGGUGAAUACGUUCCCGGGCCUUGUACACACCGCCCGUCACACCAUGGGAGUGGGUUGCAAAAGAAGUAGGUAGCUUAACCUUCGGGAGGGCGCUUACCACUUUGUGAUUCAUGACUGGGGUGAAGUCGUAACAAGGUAACCGUAGGGGAACCUGCGGUUGGAUCACCUCCUUA